GCCGAAGGCAGCAGCCUAACCCCCUGAGCCACCCAGGCACCCCUUCAUUUCACUCUUUACAUUAUCUUGGAUUACAGCUUUCUGAGGACAGAGGGAUUCUUUUGCAUAAGGACAGCCCCAAGGAUAUACACAGAUUAAAUAUUACAAAUAUAAAUUGUAACCUAAACUUUCUACUUUUUUUUCCUCAGAGAUUUUUAAUUUAUUUAUUUGAGAAAUACAGAGAGAGAGAGAGAGCGUAUGAGCCAGGGGAGGAGCAGAGGGAGAAGCAGGCUCCUCACAGAGCGGGGAGCCUGAUGCGGGGCUCGAUCCCAGGACCCUGAGACCAUGACCUGAACCCAAGGCAGACACUUAAUGGACUGAGCCAGUAAUUCUAUUACAGUGGGUGCAUCUUUGGCGCAACACAACUCUAUUUGCUUCCAGUGUGGAUUCUAGAAGCUUAUUUCGUUUUGCUUUAUUCAGCCGCUCACAAAAACUCACGAAGCAUCAGCUAUGUGGAAGCCCAUAUAAACUGAAGAUACUGACAAAUUAAACAGCAAUUUGCCCUUUGGUAAUUUGCCUUUUAUUUUUUAGGAGUUCACAGAGCCUCUAAAAAAAGGUAAACAAGCCUCCGGAGGAUUGUGGCAAGUUGCUGAGGAAUAACGAAACAGAGGAGAAAAAUAUUUGCAAAAUCUACUUUUUUUUUUUUUUUUUACCACCACCAUAGUGGUUAUGAGUGGAUUAUGGGGCCAAGACUGCCCAGGUUUACAUUCAGGUUCUGCCCCUUAAGACUGCGAUCUUGGGCAGAGGGCACAGCCCGAGUGCACAUCGGUUUUGUCAUCUGUAAGAUGGGGACGCAACUAGUAUGCUUACUUCAUUAGCUCAUUGUGAGGAUUAAUUGAGAUAAUAGAUGUAAAACACCCGGGCCAGUGUUUGGCACCUGGUAAGGGCCAUGUAACUCUGAACGGGCAUUAUUCACAGCUUUACUGUGGACGGCCGCUCUCAAGACACCUUCAGUACUGCUGCUGCAAAGACCACGGCUUCCUCUGCAGUUAUGGCUUGUGUGAUUAUAAAUUUCCGUUAUCGUUUUUGCUGCCCACGGCUCUCACGGCUCCCACGGCUCCCACUCCUGUUAGAGCCACGGUCCUGUUCCCGCAGUUCUUGCCGUCAGAGCUGUCACUGUCAUCACCAAUUACUGGAAGUAUGGUGUAUGUGAUGAAAAAUCAAGCCGCUAUUGCUGCAGUCAAGACUAUAAAGAUUACCUGUAUAAAGAAGUUGGAUGGAAGAAUUUCCCCACUGUAAAAGUUUCAUGAGCAUUUUUUUUUAAAAAGACUGAAACUUUAAAAUCCCGUUAGGAAAGUAAAGACAAGAAUAAGGACAGUUACUCCAUACAAAUCUCUACAGGAUAUUUGAAGAUGAAGUUCUUGCUUCACCUGGAAAAAUCUGCAAUCUUGUUAUUUGAGAUCUCUGUUUAGAUUACUUUAUAGAUACAAGAUCAUUCAACUGCAUGAUUUUUCAUGCUUGAGAGUCUUGAUGCAUACCGUGCUGUAAUAACAGGUUCAGGAUAGAGUAUCUUUAAUUGUACAAGACUUAUAUAUUAAGCCAAGCAGACUUUCAAACUCAUUGGUCACACAACAGGGUUGGAGAAAUGAAGCACCCAGGAAUGAAAUGGCAAGUAAUAAGUUUUCCACGUCCUGGAACUUUCUAGAACUAAAUGGACUUUUCAGAGCUGAAACAGAUGAGUAAAGCUAACUCUGAUGAGUAAGGUUAACUUUGUAUUAUUCAGCCAGUAUUUAAGAACC
ensembl:lincRNA